CCCUAACAUCCUCUUUCUAAAUUAAUUUGAAUUGUGAGAUUUUAAUUUAUUUCUACAAUCUAUUUACUUUGUUGGAAAAAUAUCUCCAUAACACCCUAUUUUAUUUAGUAAAAUUUAUGUCCAUCUAUCCACUUGAUACGAGACAACUCCAAAAUGGUAGAAAUACAUGUGAGUAUUAUCAAAAAAUUCAACCAUGUUUAAUGUUCGUUUUUAUUUGGCACAGGCUGAGAAAUUUACCACACAUGCCAGGCUCGUCUCAAUUUUAUCCAUAAAUCAUCAUUUAGUUUCUUAUUGUGUCAAACACUAUCAUUAUAAUAGUACGAAAUUUAAAAAAAA
rnacentral:lncRNA from 1 species